UGCCAGCCGCCGCGGUAAGACGGGAGAUGCAAGUGUUAUCCGGAAUUACUGGGCGUAAAGGGUCUGUAGGUUGUUGGUUAAGUCUAUGGUCAAAUUCCGAAGCUCAACUUCGGGCCGGCACUAGAAACUAAUCAACUUGAGUACGUUAGAGGCAGGGGGAAUUCCCAGUGUAGCGGUGAAAUGCGUAGAUAUUGGGAGGAACAUCAAUGGCGACGGCGGCUCACUGGCUCGAUACUGACGCUGAGGUACGAAAGUGUGGGGAGCAAACAGGAUUAGAUA
rnacentral:rRNA from 1 species